ACGUACACUCCUGCGGGAGGCAGCAGUGGGGAAUUUUGGACAAUGGGCGAAAGCCUGAUCCAGCCAUGCCGCGUGCAGGAUGAAGGCCUUCGGGUUGUAAACUGCUUUUGUACGGAACGAAACGGCCUUUUCUAAUAAAGAGGGCUAAUGACGGUACCGUAAGAAUAAGCACCGGCUAACUACGUGCCAGCAGCCGCGGUAAUACGUAGGGUGCAAGCGUUAAUCGGAAUUACUGGGCGUAAAGCGUGCGCAGGCGGUUAUGUAAGACAGUUGUGAAAUACCCGGGCUCAACCUGGGAACUGCAUCUGUGACUGCAUAGCUAGAGUACGGUAGAGGGGGAUGGAAUUCCGCGUGUAGCAGUGAAAUGCGUAGAUAUGCGGAGGAACACCGAUGGCGAAGGCAAUCCCCUGGACCUGUACUGACGCUCAUGCACGAAAGCGUGGGGAGCAAACAGGAUUAGAUACCCCGGUAGUCCCAUGA
rnacentral:rRNA from 1 species